UGUUUCCCUUUUUCUAUCAACUGGUGAUCCUUUAUUGCUUCUUUUUGGGCUUCUUCCUUUAUUUUUCUUUUAUUUCCUCUGCUGUCUGAUAUUUUGUGAUUUGAGAGGCAAUCGAUUGCAGUUUUGCAGUUGUGUCCAUUCGAUCUGCCACCUUAUC